GAUGAAGAACGUAGCGAAAUGCGAUACUUGGUGUGAAUUGCAGAAUCCCGUGAACCAUCGAGUCUUUGAACGCAAGUUGCGCCCGAAGCCAUUAGGCCGAGGGCACGCCUGCCUGGGCGUCACACGUCGUUGCCCCCCCAUCUACUCCUUCGGGAUUGCGGGGGGCGGAUGAUGGCCUCCCGUGCGCCUCGUCGCGCGGUUGGCAUAAAUGCCAAGUCCUCGGCGACGCACGCCACGACAAUCAGUGGUUGCGAAACCUCGGUUGCCCGUCGUGUGCGGUCGUCGCGCAUCGAGGGCUCGAAAAAAUUGCCGGGCUCCGGCUCGGCUUUCAACGCGACCCCAGGUCAGGCGGGGUUACCCGCUGAAUUUAAGCAUAUCAAUAAGCGGAGGA
rnacentral:misc_RNA from 1 species